ensembl:snRNA LOC120093942 U1 spliceosomal RNA
AUACUUACCUGGCAGGGGAGAUACCAUGAUCACGAAGGUGGUUUUCCCAGGGCGAGGCUUAUCCAUUGCACUCCGGAUGUGCUGACCCCUGCGAUUUCCCCAAAUGCGGGAAACUCGACUGCAUAAUUUGUGGUAGUGGGGGACUGCGUUUGAGCUCUCCCCUG